rnacentral:rRNA from 1 species
UGGGGAAUAUUGGACAAUGGGCGAAAGCCUGAUCCAGCCAUGCCGCGUGUGUGAAGAAGGUUUUCGGAUUGUAAAGCACUUUAAGUUGGGAGGAAGGGCUGCAAGUUAAUACCUUGUAGUUUUGACGUUACCAACCGAAUAAGCACCGGCUAACUUCGUGCCAGCAGCCGCGGUAAUACGAAGGGUGCAAGCGUUAAUCGGAAUUACUGGGCGUAAAGCGCGCGUAGGUGGUUUGGUAAGAUGGAUGUGAAAUCCCCGGGCUCAACCUGGGAACUGCAUCCAUAACUGCCUGACUAGAGUACGGUAGAGGGUGGUGGAAUUUCCUGUGUAGCGGUGAAAUGCGUAGAUAUAGGAAGGAACACCAGUGGCGAAGGCGACCACCUGGACUGAUACUGACACUGAGGUGCGAAAGCGUGGGGAGCAAACA